rnacentral:rRNA from 1 species
GACGAACGCUGGCGGCGUGCUUAACACAUGCAAGUCGUACGGUAAGGCCCUUUCGGGGGUACACGAGUGGCGAACGGGUGAGUAACACGUGAGUAACCUGCCCACAACUUUGGGAUAACGCUAGGAAACUGGUGCUAAUACUGGAUAUGUGCUCCUGCUGCAUGGUGGGGGUUGGAAAGCUCCGGCGGUUGUGGAUGGACUCGCGGCCUAUCAGCUUGUUGGUGGGGUAGUGGCCUACCAAGGCGGCGACGGGUAGCCGGCCUGAGAGGGUGACCGGCCACAGUGGGACUGAGAUACGGCCCAGACGCCUACGGGAGGCAGCAGUGGGGAAUAGUGCACAAUGGGCGCAAGCCUGAUGCAGCAACGCCGCGUGCGGGAGGACGGCCUUCGGGUUGUAAACCGCUUUCAGCAGGGACGAAGCUUUUUGUGACGGUACCUGAAGAAGAAGCACCGGCUAACUACGUG